UACGUAGGGGGCUAGCGUUGUCCGGAAUCAUUGGGCGUAAAGAGCGUGUAGGCGGCCCGGUAAGUCCGCUGUGAAAGUCGGGGGCUCAACCCUCGAAUGCCGGUGGAUACUGUCGGGCUAGAGUGCGGAAGAGGCGAGUGGAAUUCCUGGUGUAGCGGUGAAAUGCGGAGAUAUCAGGAGGAACACCAAUUGCGAAGGCAGCUCGCUGGGACGUAACUGACGCUGAGGCGCGAAAGCGUGGGGAGCGAACAGG
rnacentral:rRNA from 1 species